rnacentral:hammerhead_ribozyme from 1 species
CAGCAGAUGACGAGUCCCAAACAGGACGAAAUGUACAUCCUGGUG